CAUCACUCCACCAUAGAAGGCCAUUAGAUUGGCCAGGCACAAUUUUACAACGGUGAAGCUGUGCUGGCUGUCUCAGAUCACCUGUUUGUCCCCGAUAUGCCUUAAUAUGUCUUCCAGGAUAAUGUGUUUCAUGAUCUUCCCAAGGAAAGAGGAAAAACUGGGCGCUCUGAACAUCCAGCUGAAAACAGCCUUCACCACACAGCUAAGUAAACUGUUAUUGUCAGGAAUGUGGGCACUCUCCAUUUUAUGCCAGGCUGUGUGCACGCUCCCUGCUAAAGCAUUUCCUCUAGCAAAACAAAUAAGCACAAAGACAAAUACUACGACAAUCGGUUGAUUGAGAGACUGAAAUGCUGCUUUGCCAUCAUGCAGUGGAUCUUCCACAUGAAAAACACAGGGCCUGGAAAAAUGUUUUUCCCACAUCUUAAGUCAGAACCAUAUUUUCCUCAUGAUCCAGACCUGACAUGCAUUGCUUCUUAAAUCGCAAACAAAGAAGUUAUUAUAAUAACUUAGUAUGUCUAGAUGUUUAAAUUUGCUCUUAUUCUCUCUUGCUUUUCCUAUUGAUUUUUCCUGGUAGAAGCAUAGUCUCCCUGAAGAAAGAAGCAAAGUACAGGCUCUGAUGGUCCUUCUAAUACUUCACAGAAGAAGAGCAUCUCAAACAGAUCUGGAUGUCUUGGAAGAGAACAGAGAUUUCAGGACAAGAGUCAUUGCCACAUGGUUUGUGCCACACAUUUUGAAUUCACAGUGAAUGUAUCACAAAGCACAGGGAUAUUUUUGCUCCGUAAAAAGUAACGUGCAUGGGAAUGGUACAUUCUCCUAGUUUGAGAACAACCACAAGCAAAAGUACAGUUUUCUUUUUUUUCCCUUUCAACUAGCAUCAGUGGUCACUUGGUCUCCUGUUUAAAAAAUACAGUACAUUCUUUACUCACAACCACCAUGACGGCUAGCCAUUGUUUCCUUGGUCAGAACAGCUGAGAUUAUUAAUACCACCAGUAAUGAUGUCUGCAGAAGCUCCUCUUUUGUGCCAAAUCACAGUACUGAUGUGGAUGAACUAUGAAAAGAAUCUACAAACCAUUGAAACUCCUCAAUCCUUCACGGUCAUUCUUUGUCUUCUUCCUGAUAAAAGAAGAUAUAACCCUGCUGAGGUAUCUUGGUUGAGGAAGAGCACAUACAAGCAGUAUUUUGUAAAUAAUCACUGAAGAGGAGAGCAAGGACAGAACCUGGAAGAAGAAGAGAGAAAGAAAAAGGGGAAAACAAAAUAGAAAUCUAAGAGACGUGGAAGAAAAUGGUAGAUCUGAAAACAUAAGGCCAGUGGAGCAGAAUUUUCUUCAAAUUACAACACAUCUUUGUUGUCUUCAGUCUUCAACUGAAAGUCCACCAUGUCAAAUAUUAACAAAGUAAAAGGACUUGAUAAGGCCUUUUUGUGUCUUAAGUGGAAACUGAUUUUGCCAUCGAUAUGUAUACCAAUACAUUUGUUUUGUUUGCAUUUUACUGACUUCUAUCCACACGAAACAAACAUACAAACAAACAAACAAAAAACAAAAACAAAACAACAACAACAACAAAAAACCCACAGAGAACAGAGACAAAACCACGAUUUUAUAGAUAGUCUAAGAAACACCUAGCUCACUCUCUUAUGCACCACAUGAGUUAUUUAUUUUAAAAUGAGUAAUGAUGUGACUGCCUUGAAAAGCAGCACUGAAGGCUGAUACUUAACUCUUCUCCCAGGAGUGUCUGAAAGGAGCAAUUCAGAUCCCAGAACUAGAGAAGAGGCUGAAUCCCAAGGGAUUGUCUCCUGACAGCCUUCAUGGAUGUGCUCUGCUGGAAUCUGUGGGCAUGAUGCUUCAGAUGAUCCAUGGUGUCCUGGAAAGAGCUGCUGCAUCCUUGUGAGUUAACACAUGAGCUGUGGCAUCCAGAAGGAAAUACCGUGAUGCUCCAAGAUACUGGCACAACACCAAGUCUGGUGCAUGGAGUUCGCACAAUGCUUCUCAAAUACGUACUGAAAAAAGUUGCCAAAAAAUGGUGUUUCUGAACUCAGCUUUCUCACCUUGGACAUUCACCAGUACUCAGCAGACAAUGGAGCUGUGAUCUCUCCGGGAACCAUAGUGCUUAUACAGAUUCAGUUGCAACAUUCCUCUUAACAUCUGAACAUAUGGCUUACUUGAAACUUCCUUACACACCUCCUGUAAAAUAAAACCUACAACAGCAAUAG
ensembl:lncRNA